GACGAACGCUGGCGGCGUGCUUAACACAUGCAAGUCGAACGGAACGCUCCUGCUUGCUUCGUACUCGACUGGUUAUCUUGUGAGUGAGUCGUGGACGGUUUGCUCUCCCCUUCGUAAUAAGCCUGGUACACUGGGUCUACUACCGGAUACGACUCCUUAUACGUCAUAUGGGUGCAAAGUUUUUUCGGUCUAGGAUGAAAACGCGGCCGAUCAGCUAGUUGGUGGGGUAAUGGCCGACCAAGGCGGCGACGGAUAGCCGGCCUGAGAGGGUGACCGGCCACAUUGGGACUGAGACACGGCCCAGACUCCUACGGGAGGCAGCAGUGGGGAAUAUUGCACAAUGGGCGAAAGCCUGAUGCAGCCACGCCGCGUGAGCGAAGAAGGAUUUAGGGAUGUAAAGCUCUAUUAGCAGGGAAGAUAAUGACGGUACCGGAGGAAGAAGCACCGGCUAACUUCGUG
rnacentral:rRNA from 1 species